GCGAGUCAUUGUAGCAAUACAAGGCAGACGGCUCAGUAACGCGUAGUCAAUCUACCCUAUGGACGGGAAUAACCUCGGGAAACUGAGAACAAUGCCCGACAGAACAUUAUACCUGGAACGGUUUAUGUUUCAAAUGAUUUAUCGCCGUAGGAUGGGACUGCGGCCUAUCAGUUUGUUGGUGAGGUAAUGGCCCACCAAGACUAUUACAGGUACGGGCUCUGAGAGGAGUAGCCCGGAGAUGGGUACUGAGACACGGACCCAGGCCCUAUGGGGCGCAGCAGGCGAGAAAACUUUGCAAUGUGCGAAAGCACGACAAGGUUAAUCCGAGUGGUUUCUGCUAAAGAAACCUUUUGCUAGUCCUAGAAACACUAGUGAAUAAGGGGUGGGCAAGUUCUGGUGUCAGCCGCCGCGGUAAAACCAGCACCUCAAGUGGUCAGGAUGAUUAUUGGGCCUAAAGCAUCCGUAGCUCGUUUUGUAAGUUUUCGGUUAAAUCCAUACGCUUAACGUAUGGGCUGCCGGGAAUACUGCAUAACUAGGAAGUGGGAGAGGUAGACGGUACUCGGUAGGAAGGGGUAAAAUCCUUUGAUCUAUUGAUGACCACCUGUGGCGAAGGCGGUCUACCAGAACACGUUCGACGGUGAGGGAUGAAAGCUGGGGGAGCAAACCGGAUUAGAUACCCGGGUAGUCCCAGCUGUAAACUAUGCAAACUCAGUGAUGCAUUGGCUUGUGGCCAAUGCAGUGCUGCAGGGAAGCCGUUAAGUUUGCCGCCUGGGAAGUACGUACGCAAGUAUGAAACUUAAAGGAAUUGGCGGGGGAGCACCACAAGGGGUGAAGCCUGCGGU
rnacentral:rRNA from 1 species